UACGGAGGGUGCAAACGUUGUUCGGAAUCACUGGGCGUAAAGCGCGUGUAGGCGGCACGUUAAGUCAGGUGUGAAAGCCCUCGGCUCAACCGAGGAAGUGCACUUGAAACUGGCGAGCUAGAGUACGGGAGAGGGUGGUAGAAUUCCAGGUGUAGAGGUGAAAUUCGUAGAGAUCUGGAGGAAUAUCGGUGGCGAAGGCGGCUACCUGGACCGAUACUGACGCUGAGACGCGAAAGCGUGGGGAGCAAACAGG
rnacentral:rRNA from 1 species